GGAAGGAUCAUUAGCAAAAUUUCAACGUUACUUUCAUUUCGUUAGAAAUCCACACUGCGUACCUUUACCUGUUGCUUCCCCCCCGGGCUCGCGCCCCGGGGGGGAGGGACCCGCAAACGCUUUGUUUUCAAUGUAGUCGGUCUGAACAACAAACGCGACAGAAAUGUCGUGACGAAAAAAGAAAACAAAAACUUUCAACAACGGAUCUCUUGGUUCUCCCAUCGAUGAAGAACGCAGCGAAAUGCGAUAAGUAGUGUGAAUUGCAGAAUUCAGUGAAUCAUCGAAUCUUUGAACGCACAUUGCGCCCCCUGGUAUUCCGGGGGGCAUGCCUGUCCGAGCGUCAUGAAACCUCCUCGGGCCUUGGUCGCCUGACGGCCAAGGUCCGGUCUUGGGUCCGAGGGGACCGUCAAUGGGACCCUCUUCCCGCAAUCCAGUGGCGGACGUGCCACGGGCCAGUAGCGUGAUGAGCACCUCAAACGCGACUCCCGCCGGCAAGGUCCUGCCAGAACCCCCUCCCAGGGAAUAAAUCU
rnacentral:rRNA from 1 species